UUCCCAGAACUCCAGCUUACCCCGCGAAGAAGACGAGACUAUCACAUUUCACUUGUGUCUUUACUGUCCCAUCUCUACACACGCGCACAGAUUGGUAUCCAAGCACACAUAUACUCAGUCCAAGCAUGCACCUUCGAGUGUACAUGGUCGAUGGUAAGCGUGUCUACACGCUAAAGAAGGUGGAUCCGGAGGGCAAGCCGACUCUGAGCGCCCACCCCGCCCGCUUCAGCCCAGAUGACAAGUUCAGUCGCCACCGCGUAACCAUCAAGCGCCGUUUCAAGGUGCUGCCGUCGGAGCGUCGCCUGCAGCCGCUGUAAAUGAGGAGGGGUGGAAGCCGCCAAUGUGAGGCGUUGUCUCUCCGCCUCGCAGGUCGCUGGCAUGCGAGAACGUGCGCGUGCGGCAGCGCUGCAUUUUGUCUUUUCGUUCGCACCCUUUUUGGUGCCGGAGUUAGCGUGUGCGUAUGUGCCUGUGUGAAGUUUGUCUGUCUCCGUCUCUGCGUGUGUACGUGUGUGUCUUUUACGCUGAAUUCUGUUAACAACGUAAUCCGCGACGUGGUGUAGGGCGUAAGGGAAUGAAGGGCACUUGAAAAAACACACACACAAAAGAGUCAGGGCAGGGGGUCACGCUCUCGCCUUUGACACGCGUGCCACAUUUUUUGUCCUUUGAGAGCUUGUGCGCAUUGCUCUGUCUGCACGUUCAGAUGGAACAGAAUGCAUCUCGAGUUUACCACAGGGAGGGGGGGGGGCUGCGGAGGAUGCUUCAGCACCCGUGCCGAUCUUGCAGUCUAUGCCGCUCUAAAAGACAACAAUGGUCCUGUCCUUCCGUAUCCCGACCUCGGCACUGCCUCUCCUCGGCGCAUGCUUCCCUUUCUUCCUCUCCCCUCUUUUGCCAGCGGGUACGGGGAGCAUCCAACACGGCUCCCGCCAGCCGCCCUCCCCCCCUCUGCCCUUGCCUUGCAUCGCCUGCCUCUCGUUUGUCUUUCGAUUACAGCUGCAAUCACCACAUCGAGGAUACGACAUACGCUCUCGGACUCUCGCAUCGCCCCUCCCUACUCUGCUUCUACCCCUUUAACUACGCAG
rnacentral:misc_RNA from 1 species